rnacentral:RNase_P_RNA from 1 species
AGUUUAUGAGGAAAGUCCGAGCAUCACAGAGCAGGAUAGCUGAUAACAUCAGCCGAGGGCGACCUUAGAGCGAGUGCAACAGAGAUAUACCGCCGCAUUUGCGGUAAGGGUGGAAAGGUGAGGUAAGAGCUCACCACGCGUACAGAGAUGUGCCGCGUAUGUAAACCUUAUUCGAUGCAACACCAAUGGUAGUUUUCAGGUCAAUGGCUGCUCGUCAGGCCUGAGGCUAUAGGUGGCUUGAGCUGUACGGCGACGUACAGACCAGAUAGAUUACCGCACACGACAAAACUCGGCUUAUCGGCUCAGU